GCCCUCUUAGCUCAGUGGGAGAGCGCGUCACUCGUAUAAUACGGAGUCCAUGAUGAGGUCAGUCGUUCAAUCCGGCUAGCGGGCA